GAUGAACGCUAGCGACAGGCUUAACACAUGCAAGUCGAGGGGCAGCGGGUAGAUGAGCUUGCUCAUUUAUGCCGGCGACCGGCGCACGGGUGAGUAACACGUAUGCAACCUGCCCGUCUCAGGGGGAUAAUCGUCGGAAACGGCGUCUAAUACCCCGUAUGAAGCUGGACGGCAUCGUCUGGUUGUGAAAGAAUAUCGGAGACGGAUGGGCAUGCGGCGCAUUAGCUAGUUGGCGGGGUAACGGCCCACCAAGGCGACGAUGCGUAGGGGUUCUGAGAGGAAGGUCCCCCACACUGGUACUGAGACACGGACCAG
rnacentral:rRNA from 1 species